CCAGCCGGCCGGGCGGCCGCAUCCGCAAAGUCGAAAGGCUGCGGAUGAGGAAAGUCCGGGCUCCAUGGAAAUACGGUGCCGGUUAAUGGCCGGCGGGGGCGACCCCAGGGAAAGUGCCACAGAAAGCAAACCGCCUCGGCAUGCCGGGGCAAGGGUGAAAGGGUGGGGUAAGAGCCCACCGCGCGACUGGCAACAGGAGCGGCACGGUAAACCCCACCGGGAGCAAAACCGAAUAGGGGCGACGCGAGGGGAAACUCUCAGGGCUGUUUCCAGCCUGUCGCCCGGGUAGGUUGCACGAGGCGUAUGGCAACAUGCGUCCAAGAUGAAUGGUCGCCACGUUUCGCCGCUGCAAGGCGGCGAGGCCAUACAGAACCCGGCUUAUAGGCCGGCUGGCAAU
rnacentral:RNase_P_RNA from 1 species